CAAGAGAGAGAUGAGCUGGGAUCUGGGCAGAGCUCAGAGAGAAAAGGGAGAUGUGUGAACUUGUGAAGAUGCAGACAGCUGUGCCAGGACACCACUCUCCACCCACUACGCCGGUACGGUCCAAAAGUUCACCAAGACUCUGUGCCGGCAAAGCCAGAGAAGAGGCGCUGACCUGAGAUGGACGUGGCACGUGUAACAGGCAGGGCCCUGCCCUCAGGGUGUUCACAGCCCGCCUUCUGGACCAAAACCCAACCCAGACUCAUCACCUGGACUUGGAGAGAUUUUUGAAACUCCUAGCAGAUUUCAUGCUCGCAAAGAGAACUCACGCCUGGCAGCACACCUGUGACGGAGAGAGGACUGGACACUGCUUUCAGUGCUGGGCAGAAGCCCUGCCCCUUCGUGUCAAGGACAGCCCCUCAACAAUGUUCCUCCACAAGAUUUGGAACUGGAGGGCCUAGGUUAUAAAGUAUGUACACAUGCUUUAAAACAACACACACUUUUAGAAAAAUCCAUGUCAAAAUACUCUUAGCGGCACAAGAGAAGAAGGGGAAUGAUCCUGCGCACACGGCUGUUCCCUUGAACAGGAAUCAACUCACACCUGAGAGCCCGACCCUAUGCUCAAGAUCCCACUGGCUGGGACAGGGCCGUG